CAAAAAUCAAAGUGCUUCAGGCGGAUACCUAAGGACUCAAAGAUGAUGAAGGGCGUAUAAACCUGCGAAAAGUUCUAGUGAGUUGGAAAAAAGCAAUAUAUAGCUAGAAAUUCCCGAAUAGAGCAAUCUUAAAAACUACUGAAUAAAUUCAUAAGUCAGUAAGAAAGAACUUAGUGAACUGAAACAUCUUAGUAACUAAAGGAAAAAAAAGCAAAAGCGAUUUUCUGAGUAGUGGCGAACGAAAAGGAAAAAGCCUAAACACUUCUUAGAAGUGGGUUGUGGGAAAAUAAAUAAAUAAAGUUUAAACAGCUGAAACCUGUACCAGAGAUGGUGAAAGUCCAGUUUUCUUUAUAAAAAAAAACCCCCCGAGUAGCUUGGGACACGUGAAAUCCCUUGUGAAUCAGCGAGGACCACCUCGUAAGGCUAAAUACUCUUGAGUCACUGAUAGUGAAAAGUACCGUGAGGGAAAGGUGAAAAAGAACCCCUAUUGGGGAGUGAAAGAGAUCAUGAAAUCUGGAGCAUUCAAUCUGUAGGAGGGCGUAAGCCUGACUGCGUGCCUGUUGAAGAAUGAGCCGGCGACUCAUAAUUUUUGGCUUGGUUAAAAAAAGAUUUUGAAGCCAGAGUGAAAACAAGUUUAAAAAAGCGAAUAGUCAAAAGUUAUGGACCCGAACCCGAGUGAUCUAACCAUGACCAGGAAGAAGCUAAGAUAAAACUUAGUGGAUGUCCGAACCGACCGAUGUUGAAAAAUCGCCGGAUGAGUUGUGGUUAGCGGUGAAAUGCCAAUCGAACUCGGAGCUAGCUGGUUCUCCCCGAAAUGCGUUGUGGCGCAGCAAAAGAUUAUUAAGGGGUAGAGCACUGUUUCAGUACGGGCCAGUCAAAUGGUACCAAACUGUCGCAAACUCCGAAUACUUAAUAUAAGCAAAAAAGUGAGACAUUGGGGGAUAAGCUCCAAUGUCGAGAGGGAAACAGCCCAGAUCAGCAGCUAAGGCCCCUAAAUAAUAACUAAGUGUUAAAGGAAGUAUCAACGCUGAAACAGCCAGAAGGUUCGCUUAGAAGCAGCUAUCCUUGAAAGAAUGCGUAAUAGCUCACUGGUCAAAUAUUAAAGCGUCGAUGCGCCGAAAAUGUCCGGGACUAAGUUAUUUGCCGAAGCUUUGGGUUCGCAAGAGCGAACGGUAGGGGAGCGUUCUGUUUAAGGUGAAGACUCAUUGAAAAAGAGGUUGGAUUAAACAGAAGUGAGAAUGUUGGCUUGAGUAACGCAAACAUUGGUGAGAAUCCAAUGCCCCGUAAACCUAAGGUUUCCUUUGUAAGGUUCGUCCGCGAAGGGUUAGUCAGGACCUAAGAUAAGACUGAAAAGUGUAAUCGAUGGACAACAGAUGAAUAUUUCUGUACUUAUUUUAAUUGAGUGACAAAGGACAAAAGAGGUAAUUUUUAAUUGGUUGUCCAAUGGUAACAAUGGAAGUGUUCAACAGAAAAUAAAAGCAAAAAAACUUUUAUUCAAUGGAGACAUGAUCCGCUGCUCCGCUUUUGGCGAAGUCAGUCAACUUAAAAUUAUCAUAUUUUCAAGAAAAGUUUGAGACACUUAUCAAUUAAAGUAACCUGUACCGCAAACCAACACAGGUAGGUAAGUUGAGUAUACUCAGGGGCGCGAGAGAACUCUCUCUAAGGAACUCGGCAAAAUGGCCCCGUAACUUCGGGAGAAGGGGUGCCUCAAUCGAGGCCGCAGUGAAAUGACUCAUUGAACUGUUUAUUAAAAACACAGGUCUCCGCUAAGUCGCAAGACAAUGUAUGGGGGCUGACGCCUGCCCAGUGCCGGAAGGUUAAGGAAAUUGGUUAAAUGCUGAUAACUGAAGCCCCGGUGAACGGCGGCCGUAACUCUGACGGUCCUAAGGUAGCGAAAUUCCUUGUCACGUAAGUUGUGACCCGCACGAAAGGCGUAAUCAAAUGAGUACUGUCUCGGAGAGAGACUCGGUGAAAUAGACAUAUCCGUGAAGAUGCGGAUUACUAAUCGUUAGACACGAAGACCCCGUGCAGCUUGACUGUAUCUUGAUAUUGGUUUCCAGUUAUUUUUGUGCAGUCUAGGUGGGAGUGCAUUUUUUGUGCAACAUUGAGAGACCACUCUGAAAUAAUUAGAAUUCUAAAAGUGAUUCCUUGAAACAGGACACUUGACAGUGUCAGGUGGGCAGUUUUUUUGGGGCGAAAUUCUCCUAAAAAGUAACGGAGAUUUGCAAAGGUUCCCUCAAACUGGACGGAAAUCAGUUGUUGAGUAUAAAGGCAAAAGGGAGCUUGACUGUAAGACCUAUAAGUCGAACAGAGGCGAAAGCCGGCCUUAGUGAUCCGACGGUUCCAUGUGGAAGGGCCGUCGCGCAAAAGAUAAAAGUUACGCCGGGGAUAACAGGCUUAUCUUCCCCAAGAGUUCAUAUCGACGGGAAGGUUUGGCACCUUAAUAUCGGGGCUUUUAUAUAGUAAUGUAUAAAGUAUGUAUUUGGCUAUAAGCUGAGAUCUCCGUUUUCUUAAAGGAAUCUAGCAUUUUAUGUGCUUUAAAUCGUUUUGUUACAAAGUUACGUUCAAGACGCAUUUGAAGUAACACACAUAAAUGCGGACAAUCAGCUGGGAAGUUCGAUUUAACGAACCCCUCAACGACUACACGCCAAAGCUCUACCUCAGCUUUGCGGCUUACCCGAAGGGAACCAAAGGCGAGAGAGAUCAAAAAAUAGUCUAAACUCAUAGGCGACUAUGAGCCAUAAUUUUUGGAAUACACAUUAUAUUAAAAAAUCAUGCAAUUUUCUAUAAAUCGAAUAUAAAAAUUCACUUAUAUCUAUACAAACAGACUAAAAAAUUUAACAAAAUAACACUUAUUAGAAAAUAAUUUACAUCCAUGUUUUUACUAUAAAAUACUUAUUAAAACUUAUUAAAAGUAGUGUAUUGAAUAUCAGACGAUGUCGACCUUUCGCAACCUGGGGCGGUAGUACGUCCCAAGGGUUGGGCUGUUCGCCCAUUAAAGCGGAACACGAGUUGGGUUUAGAACGUCGUGA
rnacentral:rRNA from 1 species